rnacentral:lncRNA from 1 species
CUAUAAUGUGGGAGACCCGGGUUUGAUCCCUGGUUGGGGAAGAUCAUCUGGAGAAGGAAAUGGCAACCCACUCCUGUACUUUUGCCUGGAAAAUCUCAUGGGAGGAGCCUGGUAGGCUACAGUCCAUGGAGUCCCAAAGAGUCAGACACGACUGAAUGACUUUACUUCACUUACUUCUAGGAAGAAUCCACAUGCCAAAGAGCAACUGAAUCUGUGAGCCACAAUACUAAGCCCAUGAGCGGCAACUACUGAAGGCUUCAUGCUACAACAGGAGAAGCCACUGAAAUGAAAUAAGAAGCCCUUGCACGCACAACAAUAACACAAUAUGCUUUAUGCUAAAUAGGUAACAACUCCAUAUACAGUGCUUUUUGGGCAACGAGACUGUGAUGCCUCAUUGGAAGAGUGGCUGAAUGCUUCAGUGAGUCUGGGGUGAUGGGUAAACAGGUGUUUCCUGGUUCCAACUCUGUUUUAUCUCCUUAGAACACAUGAUGAAUAUGAAAAAUGUGCUAACCACAUAUGAAGUCCCCUACAGACAACCAGAAUUUCAGCAGGCAGCAGCGACCACCCAGCUGGAAGCUGGAAGAUUGACACGUGGGAACUUCAAGAUAUCCAAGAGUUAUCCGAGAAGAUUACCUUUUUGCCAAGAACUGACCGAAAUUCCUCAGUGAGAGGUGAGAGCAAAUGGUGGAAGAGAAGACAACUACAGCAAUGAAGGAUAGGCCGAAACCAUCUAAAACCGAAUGCCUUCAUGGGCAAGCUGUCCAAUGUCUCAGAUCCCUUCCCUCCCCUGUGCUGACUCCACAGUACUCCUCAUUUCUCAUCAUCCCAGAUCCAGGCAGGUCCACCUCAGGUAGGUCUCCUGCUUGGACUUAUAGUAAG